CUCUGACAGACUGCUCUUAGACAAUGGCAGCCUGCACAUGCUUUUGUUUAAGUUCUUAUUUUUGUGUCUGUAACUUGGAAGGCGAGUAUCUCUGACUCCCAUUGCAUCCCGAUCUCCAGCUGUUAGUUCACAUUUUGGCACUGCCUCUUCCACUGAGAAGGCCAAACACGAGCGUCCUUCUCCUCCCACUGAUCCCGUGUGCCAGCCUCCAGAGUCCAAACGGACCAAAACCAGUGACCCCCCAGCAAAGAGCAGUGUCACCCAGGAUUAGUGUUUACUGGGAACAGUGUGGUGCUGCGAUAUCGGACUCAAGUGCACGCAGCAGAGAGUGGAGGAUAAAGAAGCUUCAGAAUAAAGCCGCUGAAUCUCCCCAUGGAUGAAACAUCAUAGUGCAAUAGCAUUGUGUUUGCUCUGAUAUUCAGUCUGUACUUAAUCUAACGAGACGAUGCUUUACACUUCACUUAAUGUACUCAAGUUAUAGAACAGUAUUUUUGAAAUCUCUUUUCUUUUUAUAGUUGUGCGUGUUUUAUAUCCUACAGUAAACAGGUAAUGAGGUAAGUGUGUUAUAUUUGAUUUAUGUGACAUUUAAAAGUGCUGUUGGAAAGAGGAAAAUGGUCUCACUUCCUAUCUGUGUGUGAAGACCUAAAGAAGACAAAAUACAAGCACUUCAAGGGCUUGUGCCUUGUGUUGGCUUUGACUGAAUAACUUGUCUUAAUUGCUAAAGACUGCACUAACAGCUUGAGGUUUAAACUCAAAUUUGUUGAGCCUUUCGGAGUCAUUUUGUUAUAAAAUUAAAAAAAGGGCGUGUCACAUAGAGUACAAGUGGUUUGUCACAUGGUGUACUAAUGACAAGCAGCUGAUAGUUAUGUAAAAUGUAAGGAAAUUAACUAUUUGUGUUAAAACUAAACUGAUUUAAAGGUGUCUCUAAUGUUGAACUAAUGCAGCAAGUUUCGCUGAGCAGCUGUUCUGUUAUAAAUUCUAAAGGUCUGAAUUAUACAUUAUAAGAACAACUGCAGAUAAGCUACUUGAGAAAUGACGAAUUCUCCAUUUAUUCGACCGAUCCAAAAGUAGUCAAACAUGUUCAAAAAUACAGGAAUCAACUACAAGGAUGAUAAAGCGAAUAAAAUGCCAAAUCUACAAAAGACAUGACUUCAGUGAUAUCCCUGAGUGUACAGCAGUAUUUUGUGGCCUUAUUAAUCUGUUUUACUCUCAAUGUAGAGUCAAAAUGACGAUAAAUUUUAAAUGCUGCCCAUAUAUACAAAGUAAAAAACACUGAAUCACAUCAUCAUAGUCACUUCAUAUACAGUCAUGAAAAAUCACAUUUAAAAAACAUAUUAGAGAAGGCAAUCAUCAUUAAAGGCGAUUUGCAUAAAUGACAAAAUGUUUGUAGUCAUUUUCACAAUUGAAAAAAUAAAACAGAUCAGUUGCAUGGAAAAAGUAAGCACACCUUCACAUCCAUAAAAUUAGAAUCAGGGGUUCCAGCUGAGGUGCUGCUGAUAAUAACAUGCUUAAGGAGUGACAGGUGGAGUCUGUUGUAUUUAAACCUCCGAUAUCCAGGAUCUACUGUUCUCUUUGCUGUUGAAGUGUGAAGUGUCAUCAUGCUGAGAUCUAAAGAGCUUUCUAAGGCCUCCCAAAAAUAACCCAACAGCAGACAGUUUGAUGCAUAAAAGAAGUCUCCAAGAACCCCGAAAUUUCACCAAAAAGUGAAACUGUGCAACUGGGUCAAUGUAUAAUAGAGGGACUUUUGAAGUCCAUAGGAUAUAUCUUGCAUACAUUUUUAUUAAAAGUAAAAAAAAAAAGUUUUUGUGUUCAUUAUGAUCAUGUCUUUACAAAUUCCACAAUUGUUUAUUAUGCAAACAAUCACUUCUUAAUAAAAAAUGACUGGAUGUCACUAAAAUGUCAAAUAACCAUCCAAAUUUAAUAACAACUACCUUCUAAUUAGCUGAACAAUAAUAAAAUGAGCUUAUUCAAAAAUUGUUUUAAUUGUAUUCUUUUAUUUAGUUUAUUAAUUGUAUCUGUG
ensembl:lncRNA